UGGGGAAUUUUGGACAAUGGGCGAAAGCCUGAUCCAGCAAUGCCGCGUGUGUGAAGAAGGCCUUCGGGUUGUAAAGCACUUUUGUCCGGAAAGAAAUCCUUGGCUCUAAUACAGUCGGGGGAUGACGGUACCGGAAGAAUAAGCACCGGCUAACUACGUGCCAGCAGCCGCGGUAAUACGUAGGGUGCAAGCGUUAAUCGGAAUUACUGGGCGUAAAGCGUGCGCAGGCGGUUUGCUAAGACCGAUGUGAAAUCCCCGGGCUCAACCUGGGAACUGCAUUGGUGACUGGCAGGCUAGAGUAUGGCAGAGGGGGGUAGAAUUCCACGUGUAGCAGUGAAAUGCGUAGAGAUGUGGAGGAAUACCGAUGGCGAAGGCAGCCCCCUGGCAAGUACUGACGCUCAUGCACGAAAGCGUGGGGAGCAAACAGGAUUAGAUACCCCUGGUAGUCCACGCCCUAAACGAUGUCAACUAGUUGUUGGGGAUUCAUUUCCUUAGUAACGUAGCUAACGCGUGAAGUUGACCGCCUGGGGAGUACGGUCGCAAGAUUAAAACUCAAAUGAAUUGAC
rnacentral:rRNA from 1 species